rnacentral:lncRNA from 1 species
AACAUAUGUCCAGUCCAACAAGGCCCAACCAAGCCCGGUCCGGUUUGUUGAAAAGAAACAAAAAAACGCAUGCGGGCAAAACAGGACAGUGGAAGAGCAUCAUAAGUCGUUUUCAUUGUUUCAGAAUGCAGAACUCCUCUUCUUCUUUUGGCUAUGAAAUUUGAAACAAUUCUCACAACCAAAAAGUUUCAAUCACUCCUCCAUGCAACAUCUUCUCACAGUUUCACGCCAUCCCUUUCAUUGCAGAGUUUUGUAUCCCUUCCAAAAACCUCUCUCUUUGGUUUCAAAUUUCAAAUUCUCCUCUUUAGUUUCAUCUUCCACACACUCUGUCUCUCUAUCUCUCACUAUCUUCCUAUCUAUCGAAAUU